rnacentral:rRNA from 1 species
UAAGACAGAGGUGCCAAGCGUUAGGCGGAAUCACUGGGCUUAAAGCGCGUGUAGGUGGCGGCCUAAGUACCUUGUGAAAUCCUGCGGCUCAACCGCAGAACUGCUUGGUAUACUGGGUCGCUUGAGUCAUCCAGGGGCAACUGGAACAAGCGGUGGAGCGGUGAAAUGCGUAGAUAUCGCUUGGAACGCCAAAGGUGAAAACAGGUUGCUGGGGAUGUUCUGACACUGAGACGCGAAAGCCAGGGGAGCGAACGGGAUUAGAUACCCCGGUAGUCCUGGCCCUAAACGAUGUCCACUAGAUCAUGGGACCUUUGACGGGUUUCAUGGUCGAAGCAAAAGUGCUAAGUGGACCGCCUGGGAAGUACGGUCGCAAGGCUA